AUCACUUCUCUGCCUUUUGGCUAAGAUCAAGUGUAGUGUCUACUAUCAUGAGUUUAGUAUCUGAUAUGUCCUUUCUCUGAGGACAAUAUAUUACAAGGAUUUUUGGCGCCAGGAGAUGGAAUAGGAGCUUGCUCCAUCCAUUUCCAUGCAUCAACGUAUUUUUCCAGUAUUCCCAGGAAUAGUGCACCUUUU